UACGUAGGUGGCAAGCGUUGUCCGGAUUUACUGGGCGUAAAGGGCGUGCAGGCGGUCUGUUAAGUGCAGGGUGAAAGCUCCCGGCUCAACUGGGAGAGGUCCUUGCAUACUGGCGGACUUGAGGGGGGUAGAGGAAAGUGGAAUUCCCGGUGUAGUGGUGAUAUGCGUAGAUAUCGGGAGGAACACCUGUGGCGAAGGCGGCUUUCCGGGCCCUACCUGGACGCUG
rnacentral:rRNA from 1 species